AUCUGCCACCAUACAACCCUGAACACACCUGAUCAUACCUAAUUUUGAAAGCUAAGCAGGGUCAGGCCUUGUCAAGCCAUGGAUGAGA
rnacentral:rRNA from 1 species